rnacentral:ribozyme from 1 species
CUGUGCAGUCCGGACCUUCCUCCAGGGCCUCGUUUCCGAGCUUGCCCCAGCGGCGGUCUGGCUUGCUUCACGCCCGCAUUAUCCAGGCAUCAGCCCAGCGGCGGCGCCAGUUGCAGCCGAUCGCGGCCGGCAUGCUUGGCCGCAUAAAGGGCCUCAUCGGCGCGGCGCAGCAUUUCAUCGGCCGAAUCGCCGGGCAAGGCCAGCACGACGCCCGCCGAGGUGGAGCAGCGCAGCGACGGCAGCCGCCCGACCGGCGUCAUCUCGCGCACGGCAGCCAGCAGGCGCUCGAGCAGGGCCAGCAAGCGCUGCGGCUCAUGCUCCCUCAGCAGCAGCGCAAACUCCUCGCCGCCC